GUGCUUCUUGCCUCCGUAGAAGGGUUUGGUGUGGAACACGAUGUUGGCGUUGUAGCCUGAUUUGGAGCACGAGAUGUUGCACUCCCCGCCCAACUCCACCCAGGGGACGGUCAAAAUGGACCUGCACAAACGGCUCAGAGGACGUUCUACUGUAUUUGGCGAUUGAAGACUACCACUCACUGGGUGGAUGAUGAGAGACCUGCUCAGCCACAAAAGACACAUUGUUGGGUGAAGACCCUGGAACCGGAACAUCUGAUAUUGUGUCCUGCACUGGAGCAGGGGAAGAUGACUGAAAACAGAAGACGGCACAUGAUAUAGACUGUAUAGGAGCCUCAAAGAAAGAGACAGAGAGAGAGCUUAGCUCACCACGUUGGUGGAGGGCUCCUCAGUCUUGCAAGGCAGAUCCCAGUGACAGAAGAAGACCUCUCCCAGAAUGGGGUUGUAAGGCUUCUUGGCUACCGAGCCUUUCCUGCCCGCGUGGAAGGCUGACAGGUACCAUUUGACCACUUGAACCAUGCGCUCACGAGGAUCUGGCUGCUCUGCGAUACUGUAGGUAUUCAAAGGAUUGCAUGACUGUGCAUACGCAGAAAACAACCUUGGCAACAAGAGGUACAGUUCAGUGAAAUUCAGCUCAGUCGGCAGACUUUAUGCCGUUGCUAGUCCACCCAAGCGUUAGUUGUGUUUCAACCUAUGAAAUGACCUGUCUUGCUCAGCCCUAUAGGUACUAUACUGCGGCUCGUGCACCAGUGGCCACAGAGUUGGAUGCUGAAUAUGCAAAUGAAUACAGAAUGCAAUGAUUAUUAAAAAUAACCAAUAUUGCAUUCACGUUGGAACAAAAUGGUUUUAAACUUGGUUUAACCU